rnacentral:misc_RNA from 1 species
GCUUGAUCUUCGGGUGAAUCACACUCUUAUCAAGGAUCAGUUUUUAUGGGACUUGAACAACUUUGACAGUGAUCCUGAAGAGUUUGCUAGAACCUUUUGUAAAGAUUUGGGUAUCGAAGACCCUGAAGCUGGACCUGCAGUUGCCUUAGCUAUUAGGGAACAGCUUUAUGAGAUUGCAAUUCAAAGUGUAGCUACAGCAAGGGAAAGCAGAUUAAGCAAAAAAGGUCGCCGUGGCUUUGAAUAUAUUCCUGCUCACAAAGCAGGGGGUACUGCAUUGGAUUUGAUGAAGUUAUUCAGUAAUAAAUAUAGUGUGAUUAGGAAAAGAAAGGAAUGGGAUGUAUACGAACCAAUAGUUGAUCUGCUGUCAAAUGAGGAAGUGGAUGCCCUUGAAGCAAGGGAGGAAAGGAAUUUGCGGUGAUUUAUACUCAUCAAUGGACAUGUAUAUGAAUUUGUAAGAAAACAUUUGGAGAUUUUGAGAUUAGAGAAUAUGACGGCUUAUGCUGUUUUAUUUUUAGUAAUUUGCUUCUUUGCCUUCUAUUUAAAACCAGUAAAGCCUAGAGCUAGAUAGCCCAAUAUGGCCUCUUUGUUUCUCAACUAUUUCUUUUUUAG